rnacentral:rRNA from 1 species
GUCCACGCCCUAAACGAUGCUCACUAGGUGUUGGGAAGCGAUUCCUUGGUACCGUAGCUAACGCGUGAAGUGAGCCGCCUGGGGAGUACGGCCGCAAGGUUAAACUCAAAGGAAUUGACGGGACCCGCACAAGCGGUGGAUGAUGUGGAUUAAUUCGAUGCAACGCGAACAACCUUACCUACCCUUGACAUGUCCGGAAGCCUGCUGAAAGGCGGGGUGCUCGAAAGAGAACCGGAACACAGGUGCUGCAUGGCUGUCGU